rnacentral:rRNA from 1 species
UGGGGAAUAUUGGGCAAUGGGGGGAACCCUGACCCAGCAACGCCGCGUGAGGGAAGAAGGUUUUCGGAUUGUAAACCUCUGUUCUUGGAGAAGAGAAGAAGACGGUAUCCAAGGAGGAAGCCCCGGCUGACUACGUGCCAGCAGCCGCGGUAAUACGUAGGGGGCGAGCGUUGUCCGGAAUGAUUGGGCGUAAAGGGCGCGCAGGCGGCCAUUCAAGUCAGUAGUGGAAGUCCAUUUUUCAAGGGUGGAAGUGCUAUUGAAACUGUAUGGCUUGAGUGCGGGAGAGGUUAUCGGAAUUCCCGGUGUAGCGGUGAAAUGCGUAGGGAUCGGGAGGAACACCAGUGGCGAAGGCGGGUAACUGGACCGCAACUGACGCUGAGGCGCGAAAGUGUGGGGAGCAAACAG